rnacentral:rRNA from 1 species
GAUGAACGCUGGCGGCGUGCCUAAUACAUGCAAGUCGAGCGAACGGACGAGAAGCUUGCUUCUCUGAUGUUAGCGGCGGACGGGUGAGUAACACGUGGAUAACCUACCUAUAAGACUGGGAUAACUUCGGGAAACCGUAGCUAAUACCGGAUAAUAUUUUGAACCGCAUGGUUCAAAAGUGAAAGACGGUCUUGCUGUCACUUAUAGAUGGAUCCGCGCUGCAUUAGCUAGUUGGUAAGGUAACGGCUUACCAAGGCAACGAUGCAUAGCCGACCUGAGAGGGUGGUCGGCCACACUGGAACUGAGACACGGUCCAGACUCCUACGGGAGGCAGCAGUAGGGAAUCUUCCGCAAUGGGCGAAAGCCUGACGGAGCAACGCCGCGUGAGUGAUGAAGGUCUUCGGAUCGUAAAACUCUGUUAUUAGGGAAGAACAGAUGUGUAAGUAACUGUGCACAUCUUGACGGUACCUAAUCAGAAAGCCACGGCUAACUACGUG